rnacentral:tRNA from 1 species
GAGCCCGUGGCUCAGUGGUAGAGCGUUCGACUCAAAUACCAAAGGUCGCGGGUUCG